rnacentral:rRNA from 1 species
AGCGAACGCUGGCGGCAGGCUUAACACAUGCAAGUCGAGCGGGCAUCUUCGGAUGUCAGCGGCAGACGGGUGAGUAACACGUGGGAACGUACCCUUCGGUUCGGAACAACUCUGGGAAACUGGAGCUAAUACCGGAUACGCCCUUAUGGGGAAAGGUUUACUGCCGAAGGAUCGGCCCGCGUCUGAUUAGCUAGUUGGUGGGGUAACGGCCUACCAAGGCGACGAUCAGUAGCUGGUCUGAGAGGAUGAUCAGCCACACUGGGACUGAGACACGGCCCAGACUCCUACGGGAGGCAGCAGUGGGGAAUAUUGGACAAUGGGCGCAAGCCUGAUCCAGCCAUGCCGCGUGAGUGAUGAAGGCCUUAGGGUUGUAAAGCUCUUUUGUCCGGGACGAUAAUGACGGUACCGUAAGAAUAAGCCCCGGCUAACUUCGUG